GAUGAACGCUGGCGGCGUGCCUAACACAUGCAAGUCGAACGAAGCUUGACGAAUGAUUUUUUCGGAAUGAAUUCUGAUAUGACUUAGUGGCGGACGGGUGAGUAACACGUGAGCAACCUGCCUUUCAGAGGGGGAUAACGGCUGGAAACGGUCGCUAAUACCGCAUAAGCCCACAGCUCGGCAUCGAGCAGAGGGAAAAGGAGUGAUCCGCUUUGAGAUGGCCUCGCGUCCGAUUAGCUGGUUGGUGAGGUAACGGCCCACCAAGGCGACGAUCGGUAGCCGGACUGAGAGGGUGAACGGCCACAUUGGGACUGAGACACGGCCCAG
rnacentral:rRNA from 1 species